rnacentral:rRNA from 1 species
AAGCUCGUAGUUGAAUUUCGGGGUUAGUAGGUUGGUCAUGCCUCUGGUAUGUACUGGUCUCACUGAUUCCUCCUUCCUGAUGAACCGUAAUGCCAUUAAUUUGGUGUUGCGGGGAAUUUGGACUGUUACUUUGAAAAAAUUAGAGUGUUUAAAGCAAGCUAACGCUUGAAUACAUUAGCAUGGAAUAAUGAAAUAGGACGUUCGAUCUUAUUUUGUUUGGUUUUCUUAGGAUUGACGUAAUGAUUAAUAGGGAUAGUUGGG